ACACACAGCAUCGUACCUAGAGUCUGUCCCCAGACAUUGUACCUGGAGCUGUUAGGCCAGAAUUAAAGUGUUU
rfam:Loxodonta africana cont3.61721, whole genome shotgun sequence.